UACGUAGGGGGCAAGCGUUGUCCGGAUUCAUUGGGCGUAAAGAGCGUGUAGGCGGCCAGGUAGGUCGGUUGUGAAAACUGGAGGCUCAACCUUCAGAGGUCGACAGAAACCAUCUGGCUAGAGUAUGGUAGGGGCAGAGGGAAUUCCUGGUGUAGCGGUGAAAUGCGUAGAUAUCAGGAAGAACAUCGGUGGCGAAGGCGCUCUGCUGGACCAUAACUGACACUCAGGGACGAAAGCUAGGGGAGCGAAUGGG
rnacentral:rRNA from 1 species